AGUGAACGCUGGCGGUAGGCCUAACACAUGCAAGUCGAACGGCAGCACAGUAAGAGCUUGCUCUUACGGGUGGCGAGUGGCGGACGGGUGAGGAAUACAUCGGAAUCUACUUUUUCGUGGGGGAUAACGUAGGGAAACUUACGCGAAUACCGCAUACGACCUACGGGUGAAAGCAGGGGAUCUUCGGACCUUGCGCGAUUGAAUGAGCCGAUGUCGGAUUAGCUAGUUGGCGGGGUAAAGGCCCACCAAGGCGACGAUCCGUAGCUGGUCUGAGAGGAUGAUCAGCCACACUGGAACUGAGACACGGUCCAGACUCCUACGGGAGGCAGCAGUGGGGAAUAUUGGACAAUGGGCGCAAGCCUGAUCCAGCCAUACCGCGUGGGUGAAGAAGGCCUUCGGGUUGUAAAGCCCUUUUGUUGGGAAAGAAAAGCAGCAGGUUAAUACCCCGCUGCUCUGACGGUACCCAAAGAAUAAGCACCGGCUAACUUCGUG
rnacentral:rRNA from 1 species